AACGAACGCUGGCGGCAUGCCUAACACAUGCAAGUCGAACGAGACCUUCGGGUCUAGUGGCGCACGGGUGCGUAACGCGUGGGAACCUGCCCUUAGGUUCGGAAUAACUCCCCGAAAGGGGUGCUAAUACCGGAUAAUGUCUUCGGACCAAAGCUUUAUCGCCUUUGGAUGGGCCCGCGUUGGAUUAGCUAGUUGGUAGGGUAAAAGCCUACCAAGGCGACGAUCCAUAGCUGGUCUGAGAGGAUGAUCAGCCACACUGGGACUGAGACACGGCCCAGACUCCUACGGGAGGCAGCAGUGGGGAAUAUUGGACAAUGGGCGAAAGCCUGAUGCAGCAAUGCCGCGUGAGUGAUGAAGGCCUUAGGGUUGUAAAGCUCUUUUACCCGGGAUGAUAAUGACAGUACCGGGAGAAUAAGCUCCGGCUAACUACGUG
rnacentral:rRNA from 1 species